rnacentral:piRNA from 1 species
UACAGUGUUCCUGACGGUGAUCUUUGG